AACAUCUUAUCUUCAACCGAGAGCAGUAUCCAAUAGAGGUUCCCAUUGCCAGCAGAAGGUAAACACAGGGAGAAGAACGAACAAAAAAUAGGGAACAAACACAGGGGAAAUAACAGGGGGGAGUUCACAGAGAGGAGUACCAAAAAAAAGCAGAGAAACAAGGCAGGAAAAAAAAAUUAAAAAAGGGAGAAAACGAGAGAGAACGAGAGAACGCAGGACUUGCACUAAUAUAAUUAUAUAAGUAAUUGCUUUUGACAUAUACUGGAGAAUAAUUUAUCUGCAGUUCUGCAUAACUUGAACAGAGAAAAGAGAAAAGAGAUCGCACCUUAGCUCUACAGACGCCGCUUCGAUUGAAAACUGAAAAGUGAGGUUGCAGCCUUGCAGGAGCAGCAGAUCAAGACAGCAACAAAGAAGAGGAAAGAUUGGAGGGGAGUUCGUGAAACUGAAGAUGCCGAUUGUAAUUGUUUUGGUUGGGAACUUGAGUCUGCGAGGAGGAAGAGAAAUUAGGGAUUUGAUAUUUUUG
rnacentral:lncRNA from 1 species